CUGCAAGAAUAUGUUCGUCACACUUCAAGGAUCAUGAUUACUGUUCACCAAAGAUGCGAUAUUUACAUUCCUGUGCAGUGCCUACAAAAUUUGAACAAACAGAUAUUGAAGUUUCAAAACGAAUACGAUUGGACUUAGGAAUGUUACAAACUAACUUAAGAAAAAAAUUACAGUCAGAGGAGUCCCAUUCAACCGUAGAGAAAUUGGCUGAAGAUCUAGGCCAAACAUCCUGUGAUGCAGAACUAGCUGUUGAACAAGAUGAAGCACUAAUAUGUAUGGGUAAGGCCAGAAGUUUUAGCUAAUGUUCCCAAGACAACCCAGGCUUUCUUGAGCUCUCAUCCGGACAUUUUAGUUGUUGACUCUGGCAUAGAAGUUAGAAAUACAAGCUGUCUUUUGGGCUUGGAGUCUGAUCCUCUUCAGGAGAACAGUGAUGACAAAUUUGUGCAUCUUGGCUCACCUUUAGUUACUGAAAGGGAAGAUCAACAAAGGCUAAUCCAUUACCAUCUGGAAGAAAAAUUUUCAAUAUGUCUUCUGUGAUAAUGCAGGCUAGAAGGUUAGAGCAGCAUUCUCUAAAUUGUAAAUUUAGAGGCUCAUUUGUUUUUGACAAAAUGAUUUGAUGUGGUCUUUCACUACAUAUAACUAUAUGCAAUAAAAGUUUAUGUGGGGAAAUGGCAACAAUUUGUUCUGACCUGAAGAAAAGUAGCCUAAAUCAGCUUGCAGCAUUAGGUCACUUAUCUACUGGCAGUGGAUUUUUGCACGAGAAGGAAAAGUUCAGCAUCAUGGAAAUUCCAUAUAUGAGCAAUUCUACCUUUGCAUCUUGUGAGUGAUGAGAAACUUUUUUAUGAAACAUGUAUUUAUAAAGGCAUUGAAGUAAGACAGAAGGCAUUGGUUGUGUCUUUUUUCUUUUUUUCAAACUGCCCUCUUUUAAAAUGUAUAAAGAUAUUUGGACAUUUCAUACCGAAAAAAAAUUGCAAACUAUUUUGUGGGAGAUUAUUUGUAUUCAAAAUUAUAAUUUGGUACAGUAUUUUCUGCAAGAUUGUAUAUCAUUUUAUAAAUAUUUUCUUAGUUUCCGUAUUGUGAAAUUUGUUUUGAAAGGGAAGAUUUUCAAUUUUUCAGUUUCAAACAUUCAUGGAAUUUUUCCCCCCUUUAAUCAUUUUGUUGACAAUGAUUUAAAGAGAGGUUCAUGAAUGUGUGGAGUAAAUUCAAAUGAAAUAUGAAAGACAUAUAUUUUUAUUCAUAUUUUUUCCAGCUAUGAAUAACUAUAUAAUUUAAUCAUUUUCCAGGCUGAUUGAUUUCAGGUAUUUUUUUCAUAUGUGUACUGAAGUCUUUGCUAAUAUUUUUGCUUAUUUAUUAAAUUUUUCCCCAUUGUUUAAUAUGAAUAUAUUUUCUGAUGUUAUUUUGUUCUUUAAGUUUAAAAAAUACUGAAUGCUACCAAAGAAGAUUUAUGAUGUUUAUUUGCAUAAAAUCUAAACAUUGUAUGUAGCUGCAGUAAAAGCAUUAAAAUAUAAUAAUUAAUAAAUCCUGUCUAAAACAUGUGUUGAAAAGCUUCUUUUGCAAUAUCUCAGAUGUUCAGAUCCUUGUUCAUUAUUGCUCAAGAUCUUCAAAAAGUCAGUGUGCAUUAGCAUUUCAAAUUUAUUACUCUGUUUCAUACAGACAGUGUUAAAACUGGUUUUCCUGGAUACCCAGAUAUAUUUAUAACAUGGGCACUUUUGUAUAUUGGCCAAGACUUUCCUCAGAACAUAUUAGGUAAUUUAAUGUUUUUCAUGAUAGCUUGAAAGCUUUAGUGCAGACCAUUUAUAUGCAAAUUUUCCUUCCAUGUUUCCCUUAGAAAAAAAGGGCCUUUUUCCAUUUUGCCAGCGCAAACGAUAAAGUCGCCAAUAAUGGUACAACUGAUGUCAAACGGAAUAUCUUCGCUGGUAAUCUUUUACCGAUCAUUUUCAAAACAAGUCGCAGCCAUUUAUCAGAUUGAUUGUUUCUUUCAA
rnacentral:misc_RNA from 1 species